UACGUAGGGUGCAAGCGUUGUCCGGAAUUAUUGGGCGUAAAGAGCUCGUAGGCGGUUUGUCGCGUCGAAUGUGAAGACCCGGGGCUCAACCCCGGGCCUGCAUUCGAUACGGGCAGACUAGAGUUCGGUAGGGGAGUCUGGAAUUCCUGGUGUAGCGGUGAAAUGCGCAGAUAUCAGGAGGAACACCGGUGCGAAGGCGGUUCUCUGGGCCUUACCUGACGCUGAGGAGCGAAAGCGUGGGGAGCAAACAGG
rnacentral:rRNA from 1 species